AUUUGUAUAAUAUAAUAAUAUUAUAUUUGACUUCCAAUCAAAAAAUCUAAUUUUAGUACAAAUA
rnacentral:tRNA from 1 species